rnacentral:rRNA from 1 species
GAUGAACGCUGGCGGCGUGCCUAAUACAUGCAAGUCGAGCGAACAGAUAAGGAGCUUGCUCCUUUGACGUUAGCGGCGGACGGGUGAGUAACACGUGGGUAACCUACCUAUAAGACUGGAAUAACUCCGGGAAACCGGGUCUAAUGCCGGAUAACAUUUAGAACCGCAUGGUUCUAAAGUGAAAGAUGGUUUUGCUAUCACUUAUAGAUGGACCCGCGCCGUAUUAGCUAGUUGGUAAGGUAACGGCUUACCAAGGCAACGAUACGUAGCCGACCUGAGAGGGUGAUCGGCCACACUGGAACUGAGACACGGUCCAGACUCCUACGGGAGGCAGCAGUAGGGAAUCUUCCGCAAUGGGCGAAAGCCUGACGGAGCAACGCCGCGUGAGUGAUGAAGGUCUUCGGAUCGUAAAACUCUGUUAUUAGGGAAGAACAAAUGUGUAAGUAACUGUGCACGUCUUGACGGUACCUAAUCAGAAAGCCACGGCUAACUACGUG